rnacentral:rRNA from 1 species
UACGUAGGUGGCGAGCGUUGUCCGGAUUUACUGGGCGUAAAGGGAGCGUAGGCGGACUUUUAAGUGAGAUGUGAAAUACCCGGGCUCAACUUGGGUGCUGCAUUUCAAACUGGAAGUCUAGAGUGCAGGAGAGGAGAAUGGAAUUCCUAGUGUAGCGGUGAAAUUCGUAGAUAUCGGGAGGAACACCAGUGGCGAAGGCGGUUUCCUGGUCUGAUACUGACGCUGAGGCGCGAAAGUGUGGGGAGCAAACAGGAUUAGAUACCCCUGUAGUCCCU